AUGCACGCUGGCGGCGUGCCUCAUACAUUCCAGUCGAGCGAACGGACGAGAAUCUUUCUUCUCUGAUGUUUGCGGCGGACGGGUUAGUAACACGUUGAUAACCUACCUAUAAUACUGGGAUAACUUCGGGAAACCGGAGCUAAUACCGGAUAAUAUUUUUAACCGCUUUUUUCAAAAUUUAAAGACGGUCUUUCUGUCACUUAUAGAUUGAUCCUCGCUUCAUUAGCUAGUUGGUUAGUUAACGUCUUACCAAGGCAACGAUGCAUAGCCGACCUGAGAGGGUGAGAGGCCAAACUGGAAGGGAGACACGGUCAAGACGACUACGGGAGGCAGCAGAAGGGAAUAUUAGGCAAUGGGCGAAAGCAUGACGGAGCAAGGCGGCGGGAGAGAUGAAGGUCUUCGGAUCGUAAAACUCUGUUAUUAGGGAAGAAUAUAUGUGUAAGUAACUGUGCACAUAUUGACGGUACCUAAUCAGAAAGGAGCGGCUAACUACGUG
rnacentral:rRNA from 1 species